rnacentral:rRNA from 1 species
AUUGAACGCUGGCGGCAGGCCUAACACAUGCAAGUCGGACGAGUGGCGGACGGGUGAGUAAUGUCUGGGAAACUGCCCGAUGGAGGGGGCUAACUACUGGAAACGGUAGCUCAUACCGCAUCCCAUCGGAUGUGCCCAGAGGGGAUUAGCUAGUAGGUGGGGUAACGGCUCACCUAGGCGACGAUCCCUAGCUGGUCUGAGAGGAUGACCCGCCACACGUGAACGUAGACACGGUCCAGACUCCUACGGGAGGCAGCAGUGGGGAAUAUUGCACAAUGGGCGCAAGCCUGAUGCAGCCAUGCCGCGUGUAUGAAGAAGGUCUUCGGGUUGUAAAGUACUUUCAGCGAGGAGGCGUUACUCGCAGAAGAAGCACCGGCUAACUCCGUGCCAGCAGCCGCGGUAAUAC